rnacentral:rRNA from 1 species
GACGAACGCUGGCGGCGUGCUUAACACAUGCAAGUCGAACGGAAAGGCCCCUUUGGGGGUACUCGAGUGGCGAACGGGUGUGUAACACGUGAGUAACCUGCCCUUGACUUCGGGAUAACUUCAGGAAACUGGGGCUAAUACCGGAUAGGAAUCCUUGCCGCAUGGUGGGGGUUGGAAAGCUUCGGCGGUUUUGGAUGGACUCGCGGCUUAUCAGCUUGUUGGUGGGGUAGUGGCUUACCAAGGCUUUGACGGGUAGCCGGGCUGAAAGGGGGACCGGCCACAUUGGGGCUGCGAAACGGCCCAGGCUCCUACGGGAGGCAGCAGUGGGGAAUAUUGCACAAUGGGCGGAGGCCUGAUGCAGCAACGCCGCGGGCGGGAGGACGGCCUUCGGGUUGUAAACCGCGUUCAGCAGGGGCGAAGCUUGUGGUGACGGUACCUGCAGAAGAAGCACCGGCUAACUACGUG